GUGGAACCAGACAUGCUAAAAACAGGACGUACAACCGUAUCGGGAGCAGCUCCCUCAAUCACUCGCUAUUAUUCCAAAACAAAAAUACUAAAGAGACAUUUCAUUGUUCAACUGGGAUCAGGAAGGAAAAAAACAUCAAGUUCUUGCAAUCAGGCAAGAGAAUACCAUGCACAGGGUGACGUACAGAAUAAUGUAGAAAGUGUGUCAAAUAGUAAAGGUAGUAUGAGUCUACCUUAGAGACUAUGUUUAAAAUGCAACCAGCCUAAUCUACACAUACACAGGCGCCACUUGGAGCUACCAAAGUAUGGGAGCAAUAAUAAUCAUUCGCACACUUUCUGAUUACUUGUACCUACAAAGUGCUGGGCUAUCAACUCAUUCAUGGGAAGACGUGCAGAAAGUGCUUGAAGAAGUAGAAUAUUACCAAAUCAAUCCACUUGAGCUUGGAACUUUUCUUCGGUCAGUGUUGGCCAAAAAAUUUGCUUGGCUGUAUUCCCCGCUUGUAUUCCACAAGUUGAACGUUUCUUCAGCUAGCCACUUGAAUUCAACAAGUUGCAGGAUUAUCACACUGAAUUCAACAAGUUGCAGCCACUGCCUCAUAUUCCCUCGGACACAGGGCUUCCAACAAUACUUGGUGUCCAGGAUUUGUAUUAACCCCGAUUCCAACACUGAAACCUUUAUUACUAAAAUAAAGUCAAUACAAAUUCAGCAUGGAAUUUUCCCAAGGAUAGUUGCAUUGCCGCCCCACCACUUGAGCUAAUCUUUUGUUCUGUGUACCAGCUGAAAAGCAAGGAGGGAAACAUUUAAGAGAAUAGCUUAAGACAUAACUGAAGCAGUUACAGAUUACAUCAUCAAACAAACAAGAAAUACUAUCAAACCAACCAGAGGAGCUACCAUCAGAUAAAAACUCUGCCGCAAUGUUAACUCAAAAGUCCAUUUAGUGCAUAAGUUGUAGACGGAGAAGAAUUCAGAAGGAUAUGAGUAGGCGUACGCUGUGGGUACCCUUCUAUCCCUGCUUUCAAUUGCUUUCAAGGAGUAAUUACUCUGUCAUAUUUCCACAGGCAUGAGGAAAGAAAAUAGAGUAAGAGAUGGCGACGCUGAAGGAAAAAUAGGCAGUCCAACAGUAGCUGCCAAAGGAAAGAAAAAUGGGACAGAGAUGGUGACAGAUACUGAAGAAUAUCAUCCAGCAGCAGCUUCCACUCAACUGCUGUGUGUUGACUGACUGAGGACCUCAUGACAAUGUACGAGACAUUCCUUAAAUACUCAUCAAUGGUUUCCAUGGAAUCACAUCCUCCAACCAAUACACAACACACAGACACUAGGCAGCAAGAUGCCAUCUUUCUCAACACCAUUGUUGUACCUCUGCCUACUGCUGGUGCCGUGCCUUCUUCUCUUGCAAGAAGCACACGCGGCGCGCCAUGGAGGGAUCUCACUGAGGUCCCAACACAUGGCCCUCCUCCACUGGAAAGCUACACUUGCGAGCCCACCACCGCAGAUGAACUCUUGACAGGAAAACACCAGCCCGUGCAAUUGGACGGGCAUCAUGUGCACGGCUGUUCGCCAUGGCCGCCGCAUGCCCUGGGUGGUGACCAACAUUUCCCUGCCGGAUGCUGGCAUCCAUGGCCAGCUUGGUGAGCUCAACUUCUCGGCUCUUCCAUUCCUUGAAUAUAUUGACCUCAGUAACAACAGUAUCCAUGGUGCACUACCUGCUAGUAUUAGCUCCCUGUCAGCACUUUCAGUACUUGGCCUUCGGCAGAACCAGCACACAGGGAAAAUCCCACAUGAGAUUGGAGACCUGCAAAGUCUUAGGGUGCUUGAACUCUCAUUUAACAGAUUCACAGGACAGAUCCCUGCAUCUCUAGGCAACCUAACAAUGUUAACUAAUCUCAUCAUUGACCAAACCAUGGUAUCAGGUCCCAUUCCUGAGGAGAUUGGAAGGCUUGUCAACCUACAAAUCCUACAGCUAACCAACAGCACCUUAAGCGGUCUGAUACCAAAAACCCUUGGAAAUCUGACCCAACUAAAUACUUUGUACCUGUUUUAUAAUCAACUUUCAGGGCCUAUACCGAAAGAACUAGGCAGGUUAAUCCAUUUGCAAAGUCUUAAGCUUAGUUUAAAUGAUUUUUCAGGUCCAAUUCCUAUAACCAUAACCAAUCUGACUAAGUUGAACCAACUUUUCCUCUCUGAAAAUCAAAUCACAGGUUCCAUCCCCCCGAAAAUAGGAAAUCUCAAUAUGUUAAACAAUCUUGAUCUAAUGAAAAAUCAAAUAACAGGUUCAAUACCCCGAGAACUUAGCAACCUCACUAUGUUAAAUAAACUUUAUCUCUACAAAAAUCAAAUCACUGGUUCAAUACCUGUAGAACUGGGCAUCUUGCCAAAUCUACAAGAAUUAGACUUUUCGUACAACCAAAUAUCUGGCUUUAUUCCUGGCAGCUUAGGAAAUAUAACCAAGCUGGUAGUACUUUCCCUUGAUGUAAAUCAGAUAACCGGUUCCAUUCCCCAAGAGAUUGGCAAUCUGAUGAGCCUCGAACUAUUAGGCUUGUAUCAGAACCAUAUUUCAGGAUCAAUACCAAAAACCUUUGGGAAGUUGCAAAGCAUCCAAGAACUACAAAUCUAUGAUAACAAAUUAUCAGGUUCUCUUCCUCGAGAAUUCGGAGAUCUCGUAAACCUUGUUCGACUUGGGCUAUCUAGAAACUCACUUUCAGGACCUUUACCCGCAAAUAUAUGCUCAGGUGGUAGACUAGAACAAAUAGUUGUCUUCUCUAAUAUGUUCAAUGGCCCUAUUCCAAGUAGUUUAAAGAAAUGUACAAGUUUGGUUCGAAUUGACCUUCAGUCGAACCAACUAACAGGAGAUAUAUCUCAGCAUUUUGGUGUCUAUCCACAACUCACAAGGAUGGCCUUGUCAUCAAAUAGACUCUCUGGGCAGAUCUCCCAAAAUCUAGGUGCAUGUAGCCAACUGAUGGUACUACGUCUAGCACAAAAUAUGAUCACGGGUUUCAUACCUCCUAUCCUUUCUAAAUUAUCCAAGCUGGAAGAACUAAGACUUGAUUAUAAUCAUCUCAGAGGUGAGAUUCCACCAGAAAUUUGCAGUUUAACAAAUCUCUAUAGACUAAACUUAUCAUCGAACCAAUUAUCUGGAUCCAUACCUGCACAGAUAGAAAAGCUAGGAAAUCUAGGAUACCUUGAUAUAUCUAGGAAUAGACUGAGUGGAUUAAUACCUGAGGAACUAGCGACUUGCAUCAUACUAUUGUCCUUGAAGAUCAACAACAAUAACUUCAGUGGGAGUUUGCCUGGUGCAAUUGGAAAUUUGAUAGGCCUGCAAAUCACGUUAGACGUGAGCAACAAUAACCUAAGUGGUGUGUUGCCGCAACAACUUGGGAAGUUGCAGAUGCUAGAAUUUCUGAAUCUAUCACAUAAUCAGUUCGGUGGCACCAUUCCAUCCUCCUUUGCAAGCAUGGUGAGCCUUUCAACGCUUGACGUGUCAUACAAUGACUUGGAAGGACCAGUCCCAACACUCAGGCAACUCCAAAAUGCUUCAGCAAAUUGGUUUCUUCCCAAUAAAGGUCUGUGUGGUAACCUCUCUGGCCUACAACUUUGUGAUUCAACUCCAGUUCCAGCCGGUCACCACAAACGGAAGAUACUUGGUUUGCUUUUGCCAAUUGUUCUUGUGGUGGGUUUUGGCAUUUUUUCUGCAACUGUUGUCAUAAUAGUGCUUAGUCGUAACAAGACAAAACCACAAGAAGUUGUUACUGCUGAAGGAAGGGACCUAUUCUCUGUUUGGAAUUUCGACGGAAGAUUAGCAUUUGACGAUAUCGUAAGGGCAACGGAAGACUUUGAUGAUAAGUACAUCAUUGGAACAGGAGGAUACGGCAAUGUCUACAAGGCACAACUCCAAGACAGUCAGCUAGUUGCUGUGAAGAAGCUUCAUCAGACAGAAGAAGAGUUGGAUGACGAAAGAAGGUUUCGCAGUGAAAUGGAAAUCUUAUUACAGAUCCGCCAACGAAGCAUUGUCAAAAUGUAUGGAUUCUGCUCCCAUUCAGCGUAUAAAUUUCUUGUCUACGACUACAUUCCGCAAGGAAGCCUCCACCGGACGUUGGAAAAUGAGGAGCUAGCAAAGGAAUUGGAUUGGCAGAAGAGAAUUGUUGCUGUAAAUGAUGUGGCUCAAGCAGUAUCUUAUUUGCACCACGAAUGCAGUCCACCUAUAAUCCAUCGAGAUAUAACGAGCAACAACAUCUUACUUGAUGCAACCUUCAAGGCUUUCGUCUCAGAUUUCGGCACAGCAAGGAUUCUUAAGCCUGAUUCAUCAAACUGGAGUGCACUAGCAGGGACGUAUGGGUACAUAGCUCCUGAACUCUCGUGCACAUCUGUUGUGACGGAGAAAUGUGAUGUCUAUAGCUUCGGUGUGGUUGUGCUAGAGCUAGUGAUGGGGAAGCAUCCAAGGGAUCUAUUAGACGGUAGUUUGUUGAGCGGGGAACAAGCUAUGCUAGUAAAAGAUAUUCUAGACCAACGGCCGACAACACCAACAACAACAGAAGAGAAUAGCUUAGCUCUCCUCAUCAAGAUGGCCUUUUCUUGCUUGGAAUCCUCUCCACAAGCAAGGCCAACCAUGCGAGAGGCAUACCAAACACUCAUCCAGCGACCCACUUCCAGUUCCUACCCCGUGCCUUUCAGCGCACUUACAUUACAGCAAGGGAGUGAUGCAUGUUGAUAUAUGAUCUGAAUUCUAGUGAGAAGCCAAGGUCUAUCAUUGUGGAAGCCGAUUUAGGUUUAUGUUUUGCCUCAAGUCACUCAUAUACCAUCUAUAUAUGUAAAAGUCUGUAAUCAUCUCAUGUCGUCUCGUAGAUUUUAUUUCUAGCAAAAACAAUAACCGAUCCAUGCAGCAUGAGCCUGAUCACGACAUGGCCAGAUCAGUAGUUGCAUGCUAUUACGAUCGCCUCGUGGGAUGGCACGAGUACCGGCUGUAGCGGCUUAGAGCUUGAGGCAUGAUCAAGGGACGUGGGAUGGCAUGUCCGUGAAGCUUGGUCAUGGCGCAAGAUUAGGAUCUUUAUGUUAGCUAUUAGUUGAGCUAAUGAGCUGUUUAAAUAAAGAGGAGAACAAAGCAGAAAAGCUGCAACGGUUUACGCAACGCAAACAUCCUGAGUGUCCACUGAUUCUUCUCCCUCCCUAUGCCUCAGGAUGAGUUCAUGACUCGUUGUAAGUGGUCGAUGCGUAAACAUGAAAAAAUAAAUAUAAACACACGAAGCUAGGUGCAUAAAAAAGGAAAAUUACCAUAGGACUAAGCAAUAGAACUUAUGUGGGGCUGUAUGGCAAGAGUAUGAACUCCUUAUCCUUACGAUGGAGCAUUGUAUCCAGGAGUAUGUAGUCCUCGUCCUUCAGAUGCAACAACAAAUAAUUUACUACUACACUAAAUUUCAAACAUUGAUUGGCGAGAUUGAAAUGGAACAGAGAUACAACCUUAUUUUUUAUUCAUGCCUAAUAAAAGCUUAACAAAGGAUGAGAUGAUAUGAUAUGCAAAGUCCCAGAUGACAGACAACAGUGAGAGCUAAGCUACUGCAAUCAUAGACAUGAAGAGUCUGGUAUGAACAUAUCCCAUAAUCUUUUUACCAAGAAAGUAGGUACCGAUUCACCUAAAAAUUCAACUCACCUAGUGUAAUCACAGACAUACUAAGAACAAGAUGUACAACCGUACAGAGAACAGCUCCAUUUACCAUUCUUCAACGACUGGCAGUAAUAUAUGAGGAAAAAUACAACGAAUUUGUCCAUGCACAAACAAAGCACUGCAGGCAGUCCUAGUUCAUCCUC
rnacentral:rRNA from 1 species